GAAUGCGCGGUGGACCUAACAUCUUAGCAUAUUAUUUGGAAUUUACCAGUAAAGUGAAUAUUAAUAGUAGUCACUUAAUAAGGUAGUUCGAAGUUAAGAAGAGAGGAUUUCGAUUUGUUUCUUGGUGAUUUGUUUCCGAUCCACUCCAGUCCACUAGGCGGCGGUAGUUGUUUUAUAAGAUGGCUGCCAACCGCCCAUAUUUAUAAGAAGAGGAAGCGGCAGCAGUUAGCAGUCACUUGAUGCUGUCUUCUUCGACUAAAACAUCACUUUUGAAACUGAUCACUUGCAACAGUUGGAAACACUCACAGACACAUAGGUGCUAAAGUGAAGCCACUCACAGACUGGACUUAAAUCAGGUACUGGUCCUCCCACAGACAUCAUCAGCUUUAUAACAAUGUUGUAACUUGAUUUUUCUUUUUUGAAAGCAAUGUUGACCAGUAUUUUAAAUAAAAUAAAACUUCUAAAAGUA